UACGUAGGGGGCAAGCGUUGUCCGGAUUUAUUGGGCGUAAAGAGCUCGUAGGUGGUUUGGUAAGUCGGAUGUGAAAUCUCCAGGCUCAACCUGGAGGGGUCAUUCGAUACUGCCAUGACUAGAGGUCGGUAGGGGAGUGUGGAAUUCCUGGUGGAGCGGUGAAAUGCGCAGAUAUCAGGAGGAACACCGAUGGCGAAGGCAGGUCUCUGGGCCGAUACUGACGCUGAGGAGCGAAAGCGUGGGGAGCGAACAGG
rnacentral:rRNA from 1 species